rnacentral:rRNA from 1 species
GUUUGAUCCUGGCUCAGGAUGAACGCUAGCGGCAGGCUUAACACAUGCAAGUCGAGGGGUAACAUUGUAGCUUGCUACAGAUGACGACCGGCGCACGGGUGCGUAACGCGUAUAGAAUCUGCCUUCUACAGAGGGAUAGCCUUUAGAAAUGAAGAUUAAUACCUCAUAACACUUUGGAAUGGCAUCGUUUUAAAGUUAAAGAUUUAUCGGUAGAAGAUGACUAUGCGUCCUAUUAGCUAGAUGGUAAGGUAACGGCUUACCAUGGCAACGAUAGGUAGGGGUCCUGAGAGGGAGAUCCCCCACACUGGUACUGAGACACGGACCAGACUCCUACGGGAGGCAGCAGUGAGGAAUAUUGGGCAAUGGAGGCAACUCUGACCCAGCCAUGCCGCGUGCAGGAAGACUGCCCUAUGGGUUGUAAACUGCUUUUAUACAGGAAGAAACGUACCUACGAGUAG